rnacentral:rRNA from 1 species
AGAGUUUGAUCCUGGCUCAGAGCGAACGCUGGCGGCGUGCUUAACACAUGCAAGUCGAGGGAGAACGGAAGGCUUCGGCCUUCUUAGUAAACCGGCGCACGGGUGAGUAACACGUAGGUAACCUACCCCCGAGCUCGGGAUAACCUGUCGAAAGAUAGGCUAAUACCGGAUGAGACCACGUUGGUUUCGGCCAAUGCGGUCAAAGAUGGCCUCUAUUUAUAAGCUAUCACUCGAGGAUGGGCCUGCGCACCAUUAGCUAGUUGGUGAGGUAACGGCUCACCAAGGCUACGAUGGUUAGUUGGUCUGAGAGGAUGACCAGCCACACUGGGACUGAGACACGGCCCAGACUCCUACGGGAGGCAGCAGUGGGGAAUAUUGCGCAAUGGGGGAAACCCUGACGCAGCGACGCCGCGUGGGUGAUGAAGGCCUUCGGGUCGUAAAGCCCUGUCGGAGGGGAAGAAGGACUGUCGUGCAAAUAGUGCGAUGGUUUGACGGUACCCUUAGAGGAAGCACCGGCUAACUCCGUGCCAGCAGCCGCGGUAAUACGGAGGGUGCAAGCGUUGCUCGGAAUUACUGGGCGUAAAGGGCGUGUAGGCGGUUUCGUAUGUCUGGCGUGAAAGCCCCGGGCUCACCUCGGGAAGUGCGUCGGAAACUGCGAGACUAGAGUCCCGGAGAGGGAGGUAGAAUUCCAGGUGUAGCGGUGAAAUGCGUAGAUAUCUGGAAGAACACCGGUGGCGAAAGCGGCCUCCUGGACGGUGACUGACGCUGAGACGCGAAAGCGUGGGGAGCAAACAGGAUUAGAUACCCUGGUAGUCC